ncrna:unclassified sequences Mu-gpT-DE RNA
CCCUGACAGUAGCAUUCCGCUACUGACUUAACCCAGACAGGAGAUUAACAUG